rnacentral:lncRNA from 1 species
CAUUAUAAUAUCGUCUUGGUACCUGUUUUGACGCGGACCAGAAAUGACGCACCAAUUUAGUUUUGGGUUUUAUAUUUCUAAACAAAAGCUGUGACGUCAUCGAUAAUUACUAUUCAUAACAUGAUGGUGAAGGUCAUAUGACUACAACAUAGAUGCCUCAAACUCUGUCCAGAAAUGUUAUUAUUGCUUGAAUUAGUAAAGAUAAUGCAAUUUCCGCCAUUUUAUUGAGGUAAAAAACAGUCGACCCUUCCCAGAAUGAUUAUCAGUCCUAAAUCCACUUUGGCCGGCAAAAGUAUGUAAGCACAUGCUGCCCCAGUUUGUGUUUUUCAAAUCAUAUGACUGUCAUGUGACAUAGUUUUACAUUUAAGCGGGAAUCACUGUAGAACAAAUGAUCGUCGCUUAUAUAAUUUUCUAUUGUUUAUCGAUUUUUUUCAUUCAUUGUACGAAGUAUACAUUGAUAAAUGUUUUAAUGUCAAUGUUGUUUUAUGAAUGCAAUUACUUCUUAUUUUCAAGUAUAUGGAAUAUAUAUGUCACUUUGAUAAAUUUUGAACAAUUUUAUAUAAAAUUUGAAAUAAAAUAUAGGUUACAAUUAAAUUAAUGAAAAAAAUUGUGUUGCUAUCAACAUGAUCAUAAAGGUGACUGUAAAUGUCAACAUUUGUUAUUAAAAUUAAAUUUGUUGAAUAGUGUUAACUUUAAAUUAUCCGGAUUGAAGCAAUUUUUCGAACACCAGGUACACUGCAAGUGGUUUUUACUGGUUUGUUUAUAGUGCGUCAUUACUGGUACCCAUCAUAAGUUGACAGUCCGUUUGUAAUGUUAGCAAACAUGAUUUUUAUUGCUUUUACUGUUUCAAAAAAAUCAACUGUUUAAAUGAUUGAAAUACAUUAACAAGUGAUCAACCUUUCAUUCUAUUCCGUAUUUCUUUUUCUUUUAAAUGGUAGAUUAAAUGCAGAGACAAACACAACGUUAGGUGCGUCAUUACUGGUUCCUCGGGGAUACAUGUGUAAUAAAGAAAGAAAAAACUAUCGUAUACCUUUCUGGGAUAUUUUUAGACGUAUACAUUCUAAUUUCAUUAAAAAUGUGGCCUUUACCUUACACAAAUAAUCCCUCUUGUAUAACCAACGAAUGGCUUUUAUUAAAACUUCACUAAAGCAGAUUAUCAUGAACAGAUAUGCAUGCCAGAAAUGUUUCACCUGGGAUUUUCAAAAAUAAGUUACAAGUUGCUUUGCUUUCAUUUGAAAAUUCAUUCAGACGAAAGUAGAACCAGAUAUAAUUUAAAAAUUAUGUAAAUGCAUUGUACAUCUUUCAAAUAACCGCUUUUCUUGUAGAGCAUUCGCCUGUAAAAACAAAAUAUUCAAGUAGAAAUAGGCAUGAAAUUGUUUUUUUGGUGGGGUUGGUGUUGUUUAUUCUUUAGUUUCUAUGUUGUGUCAUGUGUGCUGUUGUUUGUUUGUCUUUUUCAUUUUUAGCCAUGGCGUUGUCAGUUUGUUUUAGAUUUAUGAGUUUGACUGUCCCUUUGGUAUCUUUCGUCCCCUUUUUGAGACCAUAUCUAGACUGAAUAUAGUAACACUAGACCACAAUAAAUGCUCAGUGUAGCUACUCACAGGAAACUAUUGGCACAGAAUUUGGAAAGCAAUGCCAAACCUACAUUGUAGCAGUAAUGUACGACAACGUAUUUUUAUGGAUAACUAAUAGAAUCGAUAGAUCGAAAUAUAGUUUUUAUAAGAUGACGUAUAUAAUGUCAACUUGUUAUUAAAACAAUAUCUAAUAUAGUCAAUUACACUAUAAAUAUAAUUGAUUUAUUAUAAAUAAAUCUUUUAUGAUUCAUACAGUACUAUAAAUGGCGUUUUCUUUUUUAUUCAUAACAAUAAUGUCAAAUUCGUUUAAUAAUAAGAUAUUUAUGGCUACCUGUUGAUAUUUUGUCAAGAAACAAUUAAAAGUGCACGACGAUUGCCCUUUUACAUUUGUGAGUAAGCUAAUAUAUAUUGACAAACGUUUAACAAUAGUACAUAGUUUUACAUACCAAUAUAUUCAUAAACAAAAUGACGAAUAUUAAUACUUUAAAGAAAAUAUAUAACCAACGGAAAACAUAGAUUUAGUGAUAACUUGCACGUGCAGUUUUUCACAUUCGGAAAUCCUUUUAAAGACACAAAAAUCCAAUAUCGUCUAGCGUAACAUAUACGAUGAUUUUACUCACCAAGAGUUUGUUUGAAACAUUCAAGUAAUAUACUCUCACAGAAGAAACAGAAAUCAAAUGAUACCAAAGAGACUAUUAAAACCGGAAUUCGAAGACAAACAGACACAAUUACCACGGACCAAAACACAAAUUGAAUAAAAGAAGAUGGAAGACAUAGGCGGAUUUAGGGGGGGCAGGGGGCCGGGCACCCCUUUUUGGGAAAAAAUUUGGUUGCUUAUAUAGGAAAUCACUGAAGCGUGACUGGAGCGGGCCCCCUCUUAGGUCAGUCAGUGGGUCCCCACUUAUGAAAAUUUCUGGAUCCGCCACUGGAAGUAACGCGUGGAAAAAAGACAAAAAGCCAGAUGUAUUUAUAGGUGUCAACAUAAAGUGUUUAACAACGAACAGUUGUUUAAACAAGAUACCCGGUAUCAGGUGCGGGAAUUAAACCACACCACUUGUACAUAGAUGAAGACUGCGGGGUUCUCUAGUUAGGACGGAGACGUUAACAUAUGAUUACAUAAGGUUUUUUUUAUAGUCCUCAAUCUUCCUCUUUUUAUGUCAGAUGAAAUAAAAAUAAAAGUACAUAGAAGAACGGAUAACAACUUGAAUAAGAAAAUCAUUUAACAAUAUUGUACCAAGACACUGGUAGAAUUAAACAAUAUUACGAAUACUGCUUCAAAUGAUACCUGAAGCUACUUAUAAUUUACCAGACGAUGAAAACCUAUUAAACAAAAGUUUCUAAAGAAAAAUUUUAAACUUUUCAAACCAGUUUACUUUAAUGCCAUACUAAAUACUAAAAGUCUUAAGGGGGUUCGCGGGUCUAAAUCAUUUAUAUAGGAUUUCUCUAUAUUUUUCUAUAAAUGAACUUUAUCUUAUAGUUAAUAGAAAAAUAAAAUAAAAAAGUGGGGUCACCGUUCAUUUGCGCUCACAAUCUGUCUUCGAAAGAAGCAUACAUUUUUGUACAGAUGUUUUUUUCUGUUGAACUAAUAGAAGAAGUAAAGGUAAAUAUCGAAAUAAAAAGAGAAAUUUAUUACAGAAAUCGCUAAAAUUUUACAAUAAUUUAGUUUAAGUACAGCUUAUAUGGAAAUUAUAUUAAAAAAUAUAGGUCACCGAUGAGUUAAAAUAGAUAUUUCAAUUUUAAAGCCAAAAAAAAAAAAAAAAAGUGAGAUAAUUUGGAACUUUUUCAAUGAUGUAUAUAUUUUAAAAGUCAUCUGGGACCAACACGAAUUGAUUGUUUUGAAUGAUUUUUGUACCAUAUGAUAAAGUAACAACUACAAAAGGUAAUAAAUAAAAUUUGUAAUGAAAAACAAAUGUUUAAUUUUUUUCUGAAAUUUUUAUACCCUCGAGCCUCCUUAAACACAGUUAUAUACAUUUGCUUUUGGUUUCCAUUUUAACGUCGUUAGUUUCUAUGUCCAAUUUAUCGUUCAUCUCUGUUUAAAAGGAACUGUGUUUUGUAUGUAGCAGCAGCUUAGCCUUUUCAAUUAAUGUAGGGAAGUCCCCAGGGAUCUCCAUGGAUGAAAAUUGAACGAUGGAGGAACUUUCACCAUCAUAAACCGUAUCUAUGCCGUACAGUGUAGCGCGAUCGAAAGUAUUUCAUCCCUCCACAUAAGGAUAGGUGAACAUGCUAAUUCAUUGCUUAUUUAAAUUAUAUUUAUUUGAAUUUUCAUUAUAAAUACUAUACAGCUAUAUAGAAGUAUAAGAAUAAGAAUAUUUUAUUUCUGAACUGUAUUGGAUUAUACUAUAAAAAAGCCUGAGGGUUAUGCAUUUGAUUAUAAUUGCUAAAAAAAAUGGUGUCAGGCUAUAAAAACGAUCACAGUUUUGAACGAUGGCGCGAGUCAUUUGACGAUGGCGGGGCGCCAUCGUUAAACAGGCCAUGGAGAUCCCUGAGUCCCCCUAGAAAGAAGUUAAGACAGAACAAGCAGGACAAUCUUUCAACUAUCAACUUCUUCUCUUUUCACAUAUAUACCUUACAUAAAUAGAGAAGACAGUGUUUAUAUCUAUGUCAUGUUUCAAAUAAAACCACAUGUACUUGUGGUUCUUGUAGGAGUAUUUUUGCCAGAGAUUCCGAGCAAUAAUGCAAACAUCAAAUGUGUCAUUGUCAACAUGAAGGGCUAAUUAAAAUUCUUUUCUUAUUUUUAAACGAUGUAUCAAGUGCUCAUAUACAUGAUUAAACAACUAUUAUUAUUAACACAUUGAACGCUAAAAUAGGAACAUGUUGACGGCAACAUACUGUUUUUAUUUGUCUUAUCUUAAGGUUCUUUUUUCUACCUUUUUAACUAUUUUCUCAAUACAUACAAUAGCGAUUUAGAUGCCGUACAAGUAACUUGUUAAGAAUAAAAACAACAUUAAACUCAACAAGAAGCCUUUUGAAAACACAUUUCUUAUCUUGAUACUCACCGUAUAUAUACCUGUCCUUGCAAAAUGCUUGUUCUCUUAUAAAGAGUUAUUUCAAACAUUUCAGCCAUAUUCUCUGUAGAAGGAAAAUAUAAAAUCAUAUGGUACAUAAGGAGUCUACUAAAACUAAAUGAUGAAGACACGCAGAUAAAAAUAUCUACGAGCCAAUAGAUAAUAUAAAAAAGUAAAAUAACAAAAUUACCGAAAUCAAAGGAAAAUUCAAAACAGAAAGUAAUCAAAUGGCAAAAUCAAAAGCUCAAACACAUCAAACGAAAGGAAACAACUCUUAUACCCCUAACAGCAAAUAGAGAUGGAAGAAAUACAUCAAUGAAACAUCAACUGAAAACAAUCGACAACUUAAAAGAUAUUUGUAAAAGUCAACAUAAACCUUUAAACAAUAAACAGUUGUUUCUACAAUAUAUCAGAAACGGGAAAACACUAACAAGACUAACACCUAGAUGAUGACAACCAUGAGUUAGCCCGUGUAUGUGUGAUUAAAUAAGUUUUUUGAGUCCCCAAUCAUCCCUCUUUUAGAUCAAAAGAAUAAACUAAAAGUACAUACAAGAAUGUACAAAACUUCGAAUUAGAAAGAUCAAUUAACUUUCCCCGAUAGUCAGACACUGGUAGAAAUAAACUAUAAUGAGAAUACUGCUUCAAAGAAUACCUGCAGAUACUUAUUAUAGCACACUGACAGUGCUAUAUAUAAGGCGACGAAUCAUAUGCAGUCAAACAUUAAAACAUAAAAAACUUUAGUCGUGAAAAGCAAAUUUAAAAAAAAGUUCUAUCCUGUUUAUUUCUGUGGAAGAUAAAUACAAGCCUUAACUACAAUCAAAAAAUUUUUUUUCGGUUUCAAUUUUAAAGGCAUAAAGAAUAAAUCAUCAGUUUUGAGGCAAAAUUUACACAGGCAGUCGUCUCAGAAAAAAACGAUUAUUUUCUUGGACAAGUGCCUGUGGCAAUUUACCAUCGAACGAAUCGGAUAUAUCUGUAGCUGCAACAAACUACCGUCAGCCUUUUCGAUUUUAAGGGUGGCAAAUAUUCCACGUAAAAAGACACCAAAGCGACAAAAGAACGACACAGUUUAAUAAGCAUCUUUUUCUCCCUUUACAUUAACAAGCAUAUAUUGCAUGAAUGGAAUAGAAACUCUGUUUUUCCAUAAUAGAGAAAAAUUAAUUAUAUCAUACUAAAAAUGUGCGCACGGUCAACGCUUUUACAACCCUAUGAAGUUACAAAAAGAAGCAUUCAAUACUUAUAAUUACAUUUUUUCAUCAAUGAUCAUGAAAACACGAAUUUUAUUAUUGUUUUAUUUAAUUCACCUGUGCACUUUAUUGUGGGACCACGUGUUAUCAUGAAUGAAAAGUUUUAUUGAACAAUACAAUUGCUUACGGAAUAACACGUGAUGUGCAGUAAGCCAAUCAGAAUAAAGUAUCAUAAUGAAACAUACAUCUAAUUUAAUUAUUAACAAAGGUGUAAAUAAAAUUUUAAUUCUUUUCUAAUUUUUAAACGAUGUGUCAAAAUGUAUUCCUGUAAUAGCUCGUAAAUGGAUAACGAAAAUUCGCCUGUCCUCACAAAAUCUAUGUAUUGAAACGGGUCGUUUUUAUGGAAUAAGUAAAAAAAAAGUAGAACGUGUGAUAUAAAUGAAGUAGAAGAUGAAUUUCAUUUUUUCUACAAUGUACAAAUUAUAGUGAUAUACGUAAGAAGUUUAUAAAGACAUAUCAUUGGACUAGACCGUCAACUUAUAAAUUAGUACAAUUAAGUUCUGUUGAAAACACUAAAAACUGUGUAAUUUAUGAAAGUACUUACUCUAUGCAUUUAAGUGCAGGAAUAAUAUUUAAGACAUAUGUAUAUUAUAUGUAGUCUGAAACUCACAAACUGUAUAAUAUGUGACUGAUAUUUCUGACGUUUAUUUUUUAUGUGUUUGUUAACGCUAUACAAUUUGUAAAUUGUAUAUUUAUGCAUAUUAUACUGAUAAACUGUAUUGUUUAAAGUAAUAAAGAAUUGAAGUGCUAAUUCAAUUCGUUUCUCAUUUUUAAAUGGUAUGCAAGUGCUAAUAAAUUUGAAUUAACUCUUUUUAUUACCAACACGGCAAUUUAAGGAAUGCAAAUUAGGAACAUUAUAAUGACACCAUACUGUUUUCCUCAAACUUAUCUUUCAAUUGUUUUCAUCCCUUCUGUCUUCUGCUAAUUUCAAAUUAACAGUUUUCUUAAAAGGAAGUUGAAUGCCAAUUAAAGUUUAUGUUAUAUGUUUAAAACACUCAAAUGGGUUAUAGUAAACACGUUAUUUGAUAACAAAAGCAUUUUAAACGUCAACACUGAAACUCAGCGAGUAACAUUUUGACGAUACACAUUUUGAUUCUAAUUACUUUUAGAUUAAUAUGUACCAGUCAUUUCUAAACAUAUUUUUCUCUUAUCAAAAGUUUAUUUUUAAACAUUUCAGUCAUAUGCUCUAAAAUGAGAAAAACAAGAAAUCGAAAGGUAUCGAGGAUACUAUCAAAAUCGGAAAAGGAAGACAAACCCCAAAAACAAAUGCAAUAUGAAUAAAAAUAUGAAAUUUUACGACAGUGAUACAUCAAUCGAAGGAAAACGGCAAGCCACAACAUAUCUAUUGAGGUCAACACAAUGUUUAAACAAUUGACAGUUUUUUUAUUCAAUAUAUCAGAAACGAUACUCAAACAACAAUACUAGAACAUAGAUGAAGACAACAAUUGCGGAGUUCUUUGUUUUGGACCCGGCAUAUUGACAGUUAUUUACGCCAGUUUGUCAAUUCCUCAUUCUCCCUUUUUCUAAUUCAGAAGAAGGAAAAACAAUCAAACACACAGAAUAAUGAACAAAACUAUUAUGUUGCUUUAGACGUAAAUAGACCUGUUAUAAUUAAACAAUGAUAAAAGAGCUACUUACAACUAUCGACAUAUACCUAAAGCAAAUUCAUAGUACUUUAUAAGGUGACAUAGUACAAUGCCGUCAGUCAUUUUUAGCAUCAAUUACUUUAAAAUAAUUCAAAAAAUAGUUCAAACCUGUUUCAAUGUGCACUAAUUAUAGAUCUUAUCUGAAAUCGAAACAUUUACCAUCAAAUUAAUUUUCAAAGGAAUUGGAUAUACAUGUAGUAGCUGCUAAAGAUAAAAUCUCAAAAAAUGGCGAACUCCGUGGAAAAUUCAAUACGGUAAGUCCACAAUCAAAUGGCAAAAUAAAAAGCUCGAAAAAAAAAUGGAUAACAACUGUCAUAUUCCUGACUUGGUAGGACAAUUUCUUAUGAAGAAAAAAGCGGAUUAAACCUGACUUUGUAGCUAGACUUUUCAACUAAUUAAGAGAACGAUAAUGGUUUGAUAAGCAUCUUAUUUUCCCGUUACAUACAAUUUAUACACCAUACAUAAAUGGAGACAAAACUGUAUGUUUAUGCCAUAAUGGAUAGUUUGAAUGUGUGUCAUGUUUUCAAUAGAAACACAUAUACCUGUAUGUGUGUCAUGUUGUCAAUAGAAACACAUAUACCUGUGGUUUUUAAGUAACAAGGCGAAGAUCAAUUGAGUCAUUGUCAACAUGAUGGUGCAAAUUGAAAUUCUUUUCUUAUUUUUAAACGAUGUAUCAAGUGCUAAUAUAAUUUAAUUAACUUUAGCUAACAACUAUUUAUUAACACAUAGAAAGAGCCAAAAUGGGAAAAUUAUGACCGCAUUAACUGUUUUCAUAAGUCUUGUUUAUAGGUCGUUUUCGAACCAUGUCUUAUUCUCAUUCUAGAGAUUCCAGUUUUCUGAAAAGGAGGUUAAUUAAAUGAAAAUCAACAUUUAUGUUACGUUAAAACACAUGAAUGAUUUGAAACACGCGUGAUAUUUUACUUGAAAUGCGUUAUAACGUCAUGACUUCUGCUGAGCAAAACUCCCUUUGAAGAUACACCUUUGAUCUAAUUACUUUCAGCGUUACCUGUAUUACUCAUUUCAAAUUUUAUUUUAAAUAUUUGCGGAAUAUAUCUUUUAAACAAAAACCAAACAAAAUAAAUCAUAUGGUACAAAGUAGACUAUCGAAACCAGAAGUUGAAGACAGACAGACAAAAACAAUCAAAGGGUCAUUAAACAAUAUGACAAAAAAGUAGGUUAGACAUAAUUGAGACAUUUACAAAAAAGGAAAAACACAAACCACAAUAUAUAGGGGUCAACAUAAAAGUCUUCAACAGUAAUCAGGUGUUAAUGCAUUACAUCAGGAACAAAACUAAAAAACCCAAACAUAAAACAAUCAUAACCAGAAUAUAGAAAAAAGCAACUUUUUACAUAAUACAUCAUAUCACUGUCAUAUAAGUGAGAGGUUUAGCUAGCCUUAAAACCCCGUUUAAUCCAUCAUUUCAUAGUCAGGAAUAUAACAGUUGUUAUGCAUUCCUUUGAUGUAUUUGAGCUGUCGAUUUUUGAUAAGGGACUUUCCUUUUUGAAUUUUCCUCAGAUUUCAGUAUUGUUGUGAUUUUACUUUUUAAGUUGUUUUUUUUUAAUUAAGGACGAGCAUAUUAACCUGUGACUAGUUUCUGAGUCAUCAAUCCUUCGUUUUGUUAUCAGUAGAAAAAACUAAAAGUACGUAGAAGAAUGUACAAAAGUUUGAAUUCCAAAAAUCAUGUUUAUAUUUAAUGUCAAGACGUCAAAGACACUUGUAAAACCAAAUAGUAAUAAAAAAUACUGCUUCAACAAAUACCUACAUUUACUUACAGCAAACUCACGGUGCUUUAUUAGCUAAAGAAAUUCUAUGCCACUGUACAAGCAGUAAAUGAUGAAUUUAAAAAAAAGUUAUAAACUGUUUUUCUUUUCAGUGCCAAACUGAAUACAGGUCAUACCAGAAAUCUAAGUAUAUGUUUGUCCGUUUGGUUUUCAUGUUAAGAUCAUGCAGAAUAAAUAAGUCAGUUUUCGACGCAAUUUACCAUCAAUUUGUUUUUGAAAGGAAUCAUAUAUAUAUAUAAUAUAUACCGGUGUAUACUAUAUAUAUAUAUAGCACCAGCUAAGCUGUUUUAAUUAAUUAAGAGCAGUGCACUUUCAAAGCCUAAAAAGUAGUCUAAGCAGAACAGAAAGGACAUAUUCUCAACAAUCAUCUUCUUUUUCAGUUACGUUAACAAUAAAUAUGCGUUUUGCCAUAAUGGACAGAUUGUAUGUAUGUCAAAUAUUCAAUAGAAACACACACACGUACUUGCGGUUCUCGUAGGAGUGUGUUUGUCAGGUAUUUUGAGCUACUGAUCAUACACCAAAUGUUAUUGUCAACAUAAAGGUGCAAAUUGAUUUUUAUUUUUAUUUUAAAAGAUGUAUAAAGUGAUAAUAUACUGGAGUAAACAACUAUUAUUUUGAUACAUAGAAUGCAAAAGUUCUAAAACAGCAUGACUGCACAAAACUGUUUUAAUCAGUCACAUUUAUAGGUUGUUUUCGAAUCUUCUGUCUUUUACUGAUUCUAUAUUAUCAUUUUUUUCUGAAAGGCAGCUGAAUCCCAAUUCAAUUGUAUGUAACGUUAAACCCAUGAACGGGUUCGAAAGUAUUUGAAACGGCUAACUAAGACUAACAAGAAGCCUUCUGAAGAAACAAACAUUGAUCUGAUUUGUUUUAGCCUGACAUAUACCGGUCCUUACAAGUUUUUUUUCUCUAACUGAGCGUGUAUUUCAAACAUUUCCGCCAAUUACUCUGAAAUGAGAAACAAAGAAAAAAAUUCCUGCAAUCAAGGAGGCAAUUAAAUUCGGAAAUGAAAGACAGACAAACAAACACAAUCAAGCACCAAUAUUGACAAUAGGAAUAAAAGAAAAGAAGAAAGCAGCAAAACGUCAAUGAGACAUUAACCGAAGAAAGACAAACCAAAAGAUAUAUGUAGAGGUCAACAUAAGGUUGUAAACAAGAGUAAAUUUAAAAAUGUUUGCUUCUAAUUAGAAGAAUAACAAUUGUAUUAAAAUUCAAUACAAAUGGGAAAUCAAUUGUAUAUUAAAUGUUGCACGAGCCCUAAUGUUGUGAGAACGCGAACGCUGAUUCUUCAUAACUCAAAGGGCACAAAAAAUGUCGGUUAAUCAUAUGCUUCAUUUGAAUAAUAGUAAAUUGAGUGAUAUGAGAAUGAGACUUCUUCCUAUUGACUCAAUUGACUUAAGUUUCUUGCAUAGUCUAACAAGUUUGUGAAUUAAUUAAGAAGGCAGUAUCAAUAUCUUACAUGUACAAAAAAAUGAUAAAAGGCAUGCACACAACGGUGUUGUGCUUCGCUUUGGGCAGGAAGUCAACUAUGUAGCGAAGUUAAGUUAACUUACUUAUUCUUUGAACUUCAUUUGUAAAACUUAUGUAAAAGAAGAUGCAAAAAAUGACGAGACAAAUAACCCUUUGAACAUAAAUGUUCAAGAAAUUAAUAAUAUUAAAAAGUGAAUAGAAGAUGACUAAUCAUCUGUAAAAGAAAUAGUUUUUCGGUCAACGCUGAUGAUUUGUACUCUAUAAACAAGUCUAUAGAAUUUCUUGUACAAAUUUUAAAGGAAAACAAUGUCAAGUAGAUGAUAUGUUGACCAUAAAUGGUUUAUGUCAUGGAUUCUUUUAUGAAUCAUACAAAACAAGUCGUUUCUUUUUUGUAAACAUAAGUAUGUCAAAAUAAUUAUAGGUAUGUCUAGAAAUUUUAGGUCAAAAUACACUUACAGUGCAAUACAUCAUUCUCUUUUUGCGUUUCUAUUUUUUCCGUAUUAAUAAAGGUGAAAGACAAAUUUGUAGUUAAUGUAUGUUAGAAAAACACGUACACCAAAGUUGAAGUAGAAAUGUUGUUAAAUAUUUUUUAAGGGGAUUUUUCUUGAAUACACAGAUACCUUUUAUUUCAACAACUGCAGAAUUUAAAUCUUAUGUACCACCACAUUUGAUGAGGCUGUCGGGAGAAUAUUAUCUAGCUUGCACAAAUUGUUUCUUGAAUUAAAAAUAGCAUUCGAUAAACAUGAAUACAGUGAGACUUUGAGUGAAACUCAAUGAAACAGCACAACGACAAAAUAACCUAAUAACUUAACGGCUCUUUUUGUGAUGUAAAUCGGUGUCACCAUUUGAAAUCAGUCCAAAAAUCAUCGCAUCCCCCUUUUGUCUUUGAAAUUUAUAUUGUAUGUUUAUUGUUCUGGUGUCAUCUCUUUUCUAUCUUUUUGUGUUAAUGUUAUGUAUGGAUUUUCCAGUUAUAAAAAGUAGGAGAAAAAAUAUUUUGUUACUUUUUAAAACAUUUUUAACACACCACUUUCAGUAACAAUGUUUUAAACGAGAUCAGAUAUUCAGAUAUUUGAUUAUCUUUUUCUGCAGCUGUAACUUUUAUAUAGACACCAUGAUGAAUUUAUUUAUAUUCAUUUUUUGACUUAAGGGCCUAUUUAUUUUUUCUAAAUUGGCCAUAUAAAAAAAAACCCAUUUUAGACACAGGUAAUUAUUAGGCAUUUAACGAUAUUUAGGGUGUUCUAAUAGAGGGCCGAAAGAUACCAGAAGGACAUUCAAACUUAGUCAAAAAUAAACUGAAAACGACAAGGUUAAAAACAAAAGAAACCCAGACAUACAGUAGCAAACAAACCCAAACACAGAACAUUGAAGACUAAGCAACAUGGACCCCUAACAAGAACUGUGUUGAUUACAAGUGCUCCGGAAGGGUAAGAUGGUCCUGCUCCACAUGUGGUACCUGUAUUAAAUGUUCCUAGUACAAAUCCGGUCAUAAGUCCAAUUUGGUAGGUCAUUACAGUUAAGAAUAUAUAUACGGUUUAGGGUGGUAAUAUUAACAGUUCUCAUGCGUUUCAUAAUUCAACGACAUGUAGGAGGUAGGGGUAUUUAAUUAUCUAAAAUGCAGAGGUGGGGUAUAUGCUUAGAAAUGGUUGCCAUGACAAGCAAUAAAACAUAUGGUGUUAGGUUUCAAAUACCAGUUGUUUAGCCUUGAAUGUCAUCUUCAAUGAUAAAAACCACAUCGUGCUGCAUCCGUAUCCCGAGUAACACAAGUGUAUGUCAAUGGAUAAAAGGUAUAUUCCUGGAACAAAAAUAUAUUCAAGUACAUUCAUGCCAUAUACAUAUAUAAGCCAGUACCAAAAGAUGAAAAGGUUUUUGGUCUGAACAAGGUUGUAUAACAAUUAUCAGAUAAGAAAAAAAUACUAAACAUUAUGUCUCCCUUCGUCAAAGAAGACCCACAAUUAAUAGUUCGGUACUGUAACUAUGGUCGUACUGCGCAAGACAAUUGCUAAUUUCUGGUAUAAAGAUACAAAAAAAAACCUGAAUGUCUAAAUACAACAUAAAAGAGGGACGAAAGAUACCAAAGGGACAGUCAAACUCAUAAAUCUAAACCAAAAUGACAACACCAUGGCUAAAAACGAAAAAGACAAACAAACAACAGCACACAUGACACAACAUAGAAAACCAAAGAAUAAACAACACGACCCCACCAAAAAACUAGGGGUGAUCUCAGGUGAUUCGGAAGGGUUAGCAGAUCCUGCUCCACAUGUGGCACUCGUCGUGUUGCUUAUGUGAUAUUUUGCUCUUAUCAAAAUAAUUAUAAAUAAAAGUCUUAAAAGGUAUCACGCGAAUCAUUUGCUAUGCCAGACGCGCGUAUUUAUUUCAACUUUAUUUUUGUUUAUCAUAAGAUUGUUGAUUAACUGUUAUCUACUGGUAAUACAAAUACAUUACUAAUCAGUCAGCGUCAGUUUAAAAUAGGUUUAUAAAUGUUGCACUGGACGGUAGGCCUACGCCAGCUUCCUCCAGCAAUAAUAACUGACCACCACGAUAUGACCAAUAAUGCUCGAAAUGGCAUUAAAAAAUAAAUUAACGUGACUGAAAUUGGUUAGAGUAUAAUAUUAAGACAAUCAAUUAUGUCUUUGCCAUUUCAACUUUCUUUAUUCCAGCGUCAAUGGUUGGUCGUUUGUAGAUGAAGUGUGCCUCUAGCGUACACAAUGUUAAGCCUGGUAUCUAUGAUGUUUACCUUAUGAUCACUGCUAUAAUACUUCUGGUUAAACUCGAACUCAUUUCAAAUUUCAAAUUUUUAACUUUAGCUUUACAUUAGUAUUGCAAUACUUUGUCAAUAAUUUCUGCAUUACAUUACAAUAGCAAACACUUCAUCGUGGUCUUUUAAUGUGUGUUUAACGCCAACUUGGACUAAAGUUAUAUUGAGUUUUUGUUGAAUAAGCCAAUCGUACAAGUCUUAUCUUUCUGAAUUUAUGGUCCUUAGUGUUCUUCAACUUUGUACUUUAUUAGAUAUAUUGUAUUUGAGCGUAAUAACUAAUUAGUCUUUUGUAGACGAAACGGGCGUUUGGCAUUCACAACUUUAAUUUAGGUAACUGUGAUGAGAUUAAUUAAAUCAAAAGCAAGUGUCUGCAAGGGUUUGCAUGACUUUCUAAUACAAGCAUACAUUUGUGUCAUAUAAACUUGCGUAAGGUAUUCAGAAAUAAUCCUCAAGGUUAAUAUUCAAAUAACAUUAUUAUAUGUUUGGACAUUAACUAUAUACCAUCAAAAGAAGGAUAAAUCAGUACCAUCCAUAUAUGCAAUUAACUUUAAAGCUAAUUUGUUCAUGUCCGUUCUCUGCUAAAACUCUCGUUUGUUUCAAUACCGCUGCAAAAACGAGGCGAUUUAAUUUAUUUUUAAAACGGGGUAACAACUCUGAUUUGGCAUUAAAAUAAGAAAGAUAAUAUCAUAGGGAACAUGUGUUCUUAUUUUUAAGUCGAUUGGACUUCAACUUCAUCAAAAAGUACCUCGACCAAAAACAUUAACCUGAGCGGGACAGACGGACGGGGACAAACGAACGAAUGAACGGACGGACGAAAGGACGCACUGACCAGAAAACUUAAUGCUCAUGAAUGGGGGAUAAUAAAACUGAAAGGAUUAGCUAGCUAUAAAAGCAGAUUCAAUCCACCUGUUCCUUCAUAAGAAAAUGCCUGUAUGAAGUCAUGAAUAUUACAGUGUGUUUGGGCAUUUGAUUUUGACAUUUGAGUCAGGACUUUUCGUUUUAAAUUUUCCACUAAGUUCGAUAUUUUUGUUAUUUUACUAUUUUCAACAGCAAAACCUUUUUUUUCCAAAGUAAUACGCGUAUAACAUUAAUAAACGUUUUUUUUUAUUACCGAAACACCUGAAGCAAACUAAAUUCACUACGAAUGUUUUAUUAACAAUAUUUCUAUUUUAAUAAAUAUGUAGGUCUUUCAGGUUAUGCAAUAAAAAGGAAGAAAAAACUAAAUUAAAUUAAUAACUUUAAAAUGAAAAAAAAACCACAUUAUUAAUGAAACUUUUCUAAAGAAAAUAACAUAUUCAAAGAGCAAUAACUGUUUUUGUUCAGCUUGAUAUGAUUGUAUACACAUUUAAAAAAAAAAAAGAAAUAUUCCUUUUUUUAAAACGAUUAAUACAAAAAGUGAGAUUUUAGCAAACCAUAAAAGAUUUUCCCAUGAGGAAAGAACAUUUCUUUCUGGCUCUUUAUUUAAUGUCAAAACGAUGCAAAAUUUUCAACAUCUAUGACAAUUGAUAGUAAUGUUAAACCUGGUACAGUCGUCAAUCAUGUCGACCUAUUGAAAAACAUUCAUAUGGAUAUACAUUUCCUAGUUUAUUCGGUAUUCAAGAGCAUGCAGAGACUAUUCAGACGUCUGAGCAGAAAGUUGUUAUACCAGGGGUAUAUCGAAGAACGUCUCUUCCGUUUUCUUUAAAAGUUCAUCGGAAGUUACCAUGACAUUGUUGAUAAAUUUUUCGUAUCAACUUCAUAAAUAAUACAUGAUGGUCUUGAUAUAUAGAUUUUGGGUAUUGACGCUGUUUAUCAUCUAAAGAACGUAUUAUAGUAUUCUUUUAUUUGUCUUAAUGAAUAUUUACUGUUUGUCUAUUUUUGGUGUUAUCCAUUUGUCGUGGCUCUGUACCUAUACCAUUCGUCAUUGUGUUAUUGUUCUAUAAUACUUUUUGUAUUUUUGUCUUUCAUUUUUUGCUUCUAUGCUUUCUCUAUAUGCCUUUUUGUGUUUCUUUGUUACUUAUUAUUGCAGAAAAUAUUGUAAAAAAUUGUCGUCGUGUUCUUGUUUCGGACAUAAAAACGGACAUUUAUUAAUGUUAUACAUUGCUCUAUAUCUAUACAUCCCGUCAUUGUGUUAUUGUUCAAUGAUAAUUUUUGUAUAAUUGUCUUUCAUUGUUUGCUAAAAUCCUUUGUCUAUAUGCCCUUUUGAGUUUCUUUGUUACAUAUUACGUGGUGAUGUACUUAUACACCCUGUCAUUGUGUUAUUGUUCAAUGGUCAAUGUUUGUUUACAUUUGUUUUUUUAAAUUAAUUAAGAUAAGAACACAAUGUUUACUGCUGUACUCCUAUUUUUGACAUUUUUACCUAUAAUGUAUGUUUGUUUUGUUCCCACAUAGUUGUCAAUAUAAUGGAAUUUUAUUCGAUUGGCAUACAAGUGAGAGGUUCAGCUAGCUAUAAAUCCAGAUUUAAUCCACUAUUUUCUACAUAAGAAAAUGCAUGUACCAAGUCAGGAAUAUGACAGUUGUUCAUUCGUUUGAUGUGUUUCAGCUUUUGAUUUUGCCAUUUGAUUUGGGAAUCUACAUUUUGAUUUUUCAACGGAGUUCAGUAAUUUUGUUAAUUUACUUUUUUCAACAGCCAAACCUUUUAUUUUCAAUAGUUAUAUGCUGAUAACAUUAAUAAAGGUCCCUUUUUAUGACCGAAAUAAGUACACUACGACUACUUUUUCCAAUAUUUUCAGCAAUAAAUAAUAAAUAAGUCGUUCAUGUUAUGCAGUAAAAAUAAAUAAAAAACAAAAUUAAAUUAAUAACUUUGAAAUAAAAUAAUACAGUAUCAAAUAAACUGUUCUAAAGAAAUAACAUAUUCAAAGAGCAAUAACUGUUUUUGUUCAGCUUGAUAUAAUUGUAAAUACAUUUUCUUUUUUCACAAAUUGUUCUCUUCUUUAAACGAUUAAUACAAAGAGUCCGAUUUUUUAGCAAACCUUUAAAGAUUUUCUCACGAGGAAAGUAAAUUUCUUACCAGUUCUUAAUUUAAUGUAAAACCAGGCAAAAGGCGUGUUUUAUUUUCUUUCAACAUGUUUUAGGUUGAAUUUAACCAAUAACCUGGUUAAGAGUAAAACUUAAAACAUGUUUCAACACAAAAUAAAGCGGAUUAACCAAAAAAAACCUUAAACAAAAACAAAACUUUUAAACAGAUACUGGCAGCUUCGCAACCAAAUAGAAAUGUGUAUUAAAGAAGACAACAAAUUAAAACUUGUUAUUUAAUAAUAAAUGUAAUCCGUUUGUAGGACGAAGAACAUGCUUCUAGUUCCCUUUUAUAUAUUCAUGUACAAAUUUCAAGAAUUAUUUUCAACUAAAAAGAAAAACUUUUAUGCGAUUUUCUUGGAUUUUUUGCAUAGUAACCCGAACCAGGUCCAAAAUUAAUGUCAUAGUAAAUCAGCUAUUUCUGUAGAAAAGCAAGCUCGUGUGACAUUGUGAUUGACAAUGUUGUUACCCGUGUCUGUUAUUAUUUAUGUAGGACAAACGGACCGUAUUCCACUAACUUUUUAAACAUAAUAAAAUUGGGAAUGGGAAUGGGGAAUAUGUCAAAGAGACAACAACCCGACCAAAGAGCAUAAAACAGCCGAAGGUCACCAAAUGGUCUUCAACGCAGCCGACUCGGGCCGCGAAAAUCUCGCACUCAGAGAUAGGCCUCAGCUGGCCCCCUAAAUGAAAUGUGCAGUGAAAAUGGACGUCAUACAUAUAAAUGAACUAAAAUCAAAAACAUACAUGAUUAACAAAGGCCAAGUUGGGACAGGAGCAAAAAUGCGACGGGGUUAAACAUUUUUUAUGAUAUCUCAACCUCCCCUUUAACUCUAGCCAAUACAGAAUAAACAAACACAUAGCAAAACGCAUAGUAAAACUAAGUUUAAAACAGUGGCGGAUCCAGAAAUUUUCAUAAGUGGGGGCCCACUGGCUGCCUAAGAGGGGCCCGAUCUCGUCACGCUUCAGUGAUUCCCUAUAUAAGCAACCAAAUUUUUUUCUCAAAAGGGGGAGGGGGGGUCGGGCCCCCUGCCCCCCUAAAUCCGCCUCUGUAAAAGAAUUAAGAGUCCGAUGUCAGAACAGGCAACAAAAGAAACUAAGCAAAGUGACAUAAUACAUAAAUUAACAAAGGACUACCAGUCGUUACUGACAUUCCAGCUCCAGACCUAAAUUAGUAUGUUCCAAAAUUUCGUAUCUUUUGUUGCAGCAACACUACCAGUGGCGGAUCCAGAGGGGUCGUAGAGGGCGUACGCCCCCCUUUGUGUGGGUCUUUUUUUUUGGGGGGGGGGGGGGGGGUAAAAUGAUUAAUCAGACUAGACUUCCUGAACUUUGCCAUAUCCGUGUAUUUAAUUUUUAUACAACAAUUCUUAACUUAUUUAUAAGAUAUUUUUCGCUGGUAUUUACCGACUAUGGCAAAGUCAUGUGAUUCGCUUUGAUGGAGCUGAACAGUGCGUCGAAAAAAUGUCACUCGGUCAUUUUUAAAUUCAAAUCACAGUAACACAUUGCUUAGGCUGAGAAUGACAAUCAUGACACCUUCAAAGCGAGACGGGAUUGAGCAAGAAGGUAUUGACUUUUAUUUCACAAUUCCACCAAACAGAAAGUAAAACUCUAUUACACUCUCAUGAAAAAAAAAAAAUUCCACAGCAAUAUUAUUUACAUACGAAAACAUGUUUAACCCCAAACGCCCUAGUCUAUUUCGAAAUUACAUAGCUGAACAAUGAUCCCCGGUCAGUAUUUAAAGCUCGAGAUAGAUUUAAAGUCUAAGGUUCGUAGAUUUGAGGAGGCAGUCUGAGAUAUUUGAGGAAAAAAUCUAACUCUGAUGUUUGACUUAAACAAAAAUGCUGGCCGUAUCUGGACUGAAAACAAUAAUCUUGUCCAUUUUUUUUACUAUUAGAAACGACAAUUUCCAACAGAAUUAUUUAGCAUUAAAUGAACCUGAUGAAUACAAACGGGCGUAAUUUUUUGGGGCCGGGUUUCCAUGUCUGACCGGAAUGUCUGUUUCGCCGAACUGAUAUAUUGAAUACUUUUUUCAAAACCAGACUGCAACCUGCCUACUAGGUGUGGCCUUUGUGUCUCCAUUUGUCGACCGGCAUUCAUAAAUUCGUUGUCAUUUCAGACUCAUUCGUAGCCUUUUGGUUGAUUUGGAACCCCUUAUACUUCUCUUGUUUGGGUGAAACUUUUCAACGAAACAUUUGGCUAGACAUUGCUUGUUUGUAUUUUAACUCGUGUCGGUCGUUUUGUAUAUUUCAUUGAAUAGCCUGGCGUAUAUUUUGCUUACAAAAAGAAAUCUGUAAGUUUAUCAUAAUUUAACAUACAACACACGAUAAUUUGCCAUGUCUAUGUUUUACUGACAAGUCCCACAUCAAAUAUAUCAGUACAUAGCUUUGGAUCCAUACUACAUAUAUGCAUUUUAUGAUAGACACUUGAUAGGGAGAAUUAAUACAGCAUAAAACAUGUCCAACCCUUACACUUUACAGCAACUGUAAAAUAUACAGGUUCCACGUCAGGAACCGUUAAAGGGUGCAUUUUAAACUUAUUUCAUGUUUUUUUAGCCCAAAAAAGGUCCUAAAAAAUUUUCGCCUCGCUCCGCUCGCAGAUCUUUACAAAUUACAGAAGGUCACCAACAGGUCUUCAAUGUAGCGAGAAAUUCCCGCACCCGGAGGCGUCCUUCAGCUGGCCCCUGAACAAAUAUAUAUACUAGUUCAGUGACAAUGAACGCCAUACUAAUUUCCAAAUUGUACACAAGAAACUAAAAUUAAAAUAAUACAAGACUUACAAAGGCCAGAGGCUCCCGACUUGGGACAGACGCAAAAAUGUGGCGGGGUUAAACAUGUUUGUGAGAUCUCAACCCUCCCCUAUACCUCUAGCCAAUGUAGAAAAGUAAACGCAUAACAAUACGCACAUUAAAAUUCAGUUCAAGAGAAGUCCGAGUCUGAUGUCAGAAGAUGUAACAAAGAAAAUAAACAAAAUGACAAUAAUACAUAAAUAACAACAGACUACUAGCAGUUAACUACAUGCCAGCUCCAGACUUCAAUUAAACUGACUGAAAGAUUAUNUAUAUUUGUUUUAUUUUCAAAAAUACUAGAACACACCCGCGAAAUCGCGGGCAUAUACAGCUUGUGAACUGUUGUAGGAUGAUUUUUUGUAAAAGAUAAUAUGUAUGGAGAUUUUCAUAAAAGGUAUCAAAAGCCCUCUCCCUUUUUCCAAAAAUCCGAUAUUUGAUUCCUUUCUGUUAAAUUCAAUUAUUUUCGUGUUUCUGGCCCCAGACCACAAUUAUUCUUCUCCUUUACUUCUAUGCUUCUUUUGGUAAAUAAACUCAUCAUAGAUACCAGGAAUAAAUUUUACACUUACGCCAGACGUGCGUUUCGUCUACAAAAGACCCAUCAAUGACGCUCGAAUAAAAAAAAAGGCAAAUCAAAUUAAAAAUUUGCUCCGUUUCAAACAUCAAAUAAAUGUAACUGUAAAUAUAUAUAGACCAUUAUAAGUCUAAUAAAAUAUGCUUCAAGGACAAUCCAUCAGUGCUUUUUCUUUUGAGAGCCUUAAUAGUAGGAUAUGAAUCUUGUAUAGAUGACUAUGACUGACUAAGGUUUAUUUGAGGGGUGGUCGGAGGGAUCCUGAUCCCGAAAUCCCGAGGUGCAGAAUUUAAAGAAAUUAAUAUCCCGAAAUCCUGAAAUCGAAAAAUAUAUUCCAGGAUCCCGUAAGGACCAAUCCCCAAAUCCCGAGCUUAAAAACACCCAAUCCCGACGCCCCGAAAAAGGUCCUGUCUCCCUCUAAUCCAUAUCUUACUUUCAUUUUUGCCAAAUCACUAUUUUCCCUUUCAACAAUAAAUUUUUUUAUGCCCCAUUUAUGAGCAAUAUGUUUUCUAGUCUGGGCAUCCGAACGUUCGUUCAUCCGUUCGUCCCGCUUCAGGUUAAAGUUUUUGGUCGAGGUAGUUUUUGAUGAAGUUGAAGUCCAAUCAAUUUGAAACUUAGUAAACAUGUUCCCUAUGAUAUGAUCUUUCUAAUUUUAAUGCCAAAUUGGAAAUUUUACCCCUUUUUCAUGGUUCACUGAACAUAGAAAAUGAUAGUACAGAUGGGGCAUCCGUGUACUUGGGACACGUUCUUGUUGUUAUCUAUCAUGCGAUUUGUUGUAAAUGUGUCACAUGUUAUACUUAUUUUAAUAUAUAUAUAUGCAAAUGGUAUGACCCCUUAAAUAGUAAUCAUUUCAAAGAAAACAGUAGACAGAAUACAGAGAGUCUCUAUAUAUUAAUUUUGUAUAAUCGUAGUUCACAUGUAGAUAAACGCGAAAAAUAAUUGUCCUCUGUAAGGAGGUAUAUAGUUGUUGUUCUUGCGAUCUAAACACCAUGAUAUGGAGAACGCUCUGAUUGGCUUAUUUAUUUUUCAUUUUUUGUCAUCUAUCAUACGAUUGGUUGUAUUUGUGCAUGUUUGAAACCGGAAGUCUUAUCUAUGACUCAAAGUCAGUGUGAUGACGGAAUCAUAUCCGGACUCCUUUUUUGUCGUUUUCCUCACAAAAUAACUCAAUCUGAAUAAUCAUAAGAAUGGAUGACAAAUGCAACUAUGCAUGUUACCUAUAGGACACAGAGGCAUGAUGAUUGAUUUAUUGUGGAAGGAAGAGAAGCGACACACAAAAUGAGGUCUUCUCGUUUAAUAGUAUAGAAGAUUACAUCUUAUUAGUAUUUGUAUGCAAUUAAAAUUAAGGGUUUGAACAGCACAUAUAGCAAGGUAAUAACCAUUCUUGAACUUCUGUAGGCCACAUUUAUAUACACAUGAUAAAAACAAUUUCACGAAGAAUGAAAGAUUGUCUGUGAACGGUCUCAGAUUUAUAGUGCUCAUAGACCGUUACAACUAUAGAAACACUGACAAGCAGAGUAAUUCAAUUAUGUGACAUUUAUCUGUCUUGGUAACAAUACACAAUGGCGGAUCCAGAACUUUUUAUAAGGGGCGCUCCAGUCAUGCUUCAGUGAUUCCCUAUAUAAUCUGCCAUUUUUUUCCCAUAAAGGGGGGGGGGGGGGCUCUCUCUGGAUCCACCAAUGAGACACUAAGGUAUCAAGACAUUUCGGCACAUUGUUCAAAAGACAAUAAGACAGCGUACAGAAGUCGGUUCCGUCAUUCUGAAUCAAUCAAUCAAAAACACUUCAAUUGGUUAAUUAUCAAUAGCCUACAUGUACCUAUUUUUUUUACACAACAAUAAGAUUCUCUCUGUUCAGGUAUCCAUGGUCUUGAGCUCUUAUUGUACACAUACAUUAUUGUAAUAAACUCAGUGGCGGAUCCAGCCAUUUUAAAAAAGGGGGGUUCCCAAACACAGAGUAAAAGGGGGGUUCCAACUAUAUGCUCCCAUUCAAAUGCAUUGAUCAGCCAAAAAAAGGGGGUCCAACCCCCGAACCCCCACCCCGGAUCCGCCACUGAAACUCCACAUAGCAUUCAUAGGUACCAGCAGAGACAUAGUGAAUUGAAUACAUGUCAUAUCCAUUUUUUUCACGUGAAGAUAAUUGAAAUUAAAACAUAUAAAUACAGUGAAAUAUAAAAAAAAAAGAAUAAAAAAUAAUGAAGAAAAAAGGGGGGGAGGGCUUCAUAAAGUAAAUCCUUUCCCCAUGUACCUAUUAUAGCUUCAUGUCGUUUGAGACUAUACAGUUGUUAGGCUCAUUAAAACUUAUUUCUAAAAAUUUAGUAAAAAAGGGACACUAGGGUCAUUAAAACUUAUUUCUAUAAAUUAUUGGUAAAAAAGGGAUACUUAUAGGUUUCCGAAAUUUAAGACCCAGACCGUAUAAGAUUCUUUUAUUAUUUUAUUUAUUUAUAUUUCCGGCAUGUGGAAACCGGAUUAUUUUGAGUGACUUGCGUAAUAAACUUUUAAAGGUCAUUAUUCACCCAUCAUCAUUAAUGUAAAAGGAAAAAGGUAACAAUGGGUUUAUAAAGUUGAAUAUAUGUCACUUAGUAAUUUAUAUUAACAAAAAAUAUGUCAACAAAAAUUUUUUUUGGCCUUUUACUGAUACACGAUUGAAGGUCAAAAUUUAUGUCGUGAAGUCUGGAUCAUUUGAAAGAGAAUCAUAUGUAAUGACGCCAUCGCGGUGGUUCUAGAAAUACUGGGUUUAUGUUUAACUAUGCAUCUGUGUGUCCGUUUUGUCCUUCUGAGACUUGCACACACAGUUGGAGCUGUUAUAAUACCACCACCAGCAACAAUAGAGGGGGUCGUGAUCAUGAAAUCCCUGGCUUAAAAACACGAAAUCUUGAGGUCAAAAAAUUUUAAUAAAUUUAAAUCCUGACUUCCCAAAAUUAGAAAAAGAAUUCCCACAUCCCGAAAGUGUCAAUCACGAAAUCCCAAGCUUAAAAACACCUGAUCCCGAAGUCCCCAUAAAGGUCCAAUCCCCCCUCACAGUACCUGAGCCUGAGGCUCCUUCCUUGUUUUUUUCAAGAGGGAUCUUUCAAAACUCUUUUUGACUCUUUCAUUCCCCCAAUUGACAAGUAAAUCUUAUGAUGGGAACUGUGCUGGUAGGAAUUAAUUCUCUGGUACUGCCACUGACGCUGGAUGGUUUAUAGGUCAGAUGAAAAAAAUAAAAUAACAGGUGCCCCCUUUCCUUUCAUACAUACAUAUGUACAUACUUGCUGUAUGGAUUAUGUGAGUUAAGCCAGGGUAGACUUGGGUUCAUAUGUUCUGAUGAUUUGAAAGAGUCCUGGAAAGAUUGCCAAUCGAAAAUAUUUCCACUGAAAUUUGGCAAAGUUAAUUCUGCAGGCAUUGUGAUUUUCAAAACAUGAAGUUGGAAUAAAAGGUGAUGCUUUAUAAUUCCAUGUUUGAUAGGAUGAAGCUCUGUUUUUCAAAUCAUUGAAUUAUCAUAAAUGUCUUGUAACAACACUUCUGUUCCAUUGUGUUCGCUUUCCAAAUCGAUUUCAGUUUAUUCAAAUCCUGAUCACAGCACCAAAAUGUUGAGAAUAUAAGAGGCGUUGGUUCAGCAGCUCUUUAUUUUAUCUUUUGAUAUUCCAUCUGAACCCCUGCAUCCCCGAUCCGAUACCACACAGCGCCGACCCCACGGCCAUCUCUAUAACCGAGCAAGAACGAAGAAUUCCAAGAAGCCAACAAACAACUGAUACCAUCAAUUACUGCAAAACCACCAAACAAAAGGAAACUUAUAUGAAGAACAAACAGAGGACUACAUUCCUACAACAGGACUGCCAUAUAAUCAAGAUUUAUAUGUACCAUCAUUCUGUGCCAUCAGAAAAAUUAAAUGUAAAAUUUAUUUAGUGUGUAACCUUAAAAAGGUCUUUCAAAGACACAAAACAGCCAAGAUAGAUUUCCAGUACUAUUUAAAACCUGCAGGAAAUUAAAGUUAAAAGAAGUAAAUACAAAGAACAUAAAUCCUUCCCCACCAUUUCCAGUUCAACCAACAUUGCCAAGAAAUUUUGCGACAGUAAACCACUUUACGGCAUUCCCGACGCGAUUGGAAGUAGUACCUCCGGCCAAAGGGAACCCAGUCGAAGUGGUAGGGGUGUGCCCUAUAAGUGUGUCCAAAUUAGGAAGAAACUUUAUAAAACUGUACACUGACAUUGUACUUACAUUCAUGUUACACAAAUUUAAUUUCUAUUUAAAAACACAUUUUAUUUAUACACUUACCAUUAUAAUAGUUUACAACCAUUUUAAAGUUAACGACAAUUCGAAAAAUUAUAGAUUAACUCUAUAUUUAGUAACUUCAUUUGCAUUGUACUAUGUUUGAUUCAUUUUCUGUUCAACAUUACAUAAUGAUAUAGAGUAUCCCAUAGCAACGUCAACAAUGGACAAUUAUGACGUCACAUACAUGAUACCAUUUUUUUGUACUUCAGGGGUUCUAAUUUUGUAUACUUCGUCCUGAUGAAGCCGAUCUAAUUGGCGAAACAUGUCAACAAUAAAAGAUGCAGUUUACUUAAGUGUUGUUGUCAAUGUAGCGGUAUUUGAUUUUUUUAUCUGACAACCCCUGCAUAUCUGGUAUCCACUUAAGGGAACAUUACCAGCAAAACAUAAGAGGUGUUGGUUCAGCAGCUCUUUAUUUUAAUUUUAAUGAAAUAAAAACCAAUAACUAUAAAAAGUAAAUUGGAAUCUCUAAAAAAAAACCAACAUCUGUUUUGAUCAAUAGAAGCAACUUUUGGUUAUUUAGUAAUCCAGCAAAUUAUUAAUUUAUUAUAUACAUUUUUAAGGGAAAAAAUAUAAUCACUUGUUUAACACUUAUCCAACAGUUAAACAUUUUAUUUUACUUGUCCUCUCUUGCAUUUAGGAAUAUGUAAAUAAUUAAUGUACAUGCUGUACAAUGUACAGCAUUGUACAGUAACUACAGUGGAGUUGUCAUCUUACUGCGUCUAAAAAAUUCCUGUGCGUUGCAUUACAUAUUUGGUAGUUAGAUCACAUAUCUUUUAAUCAUGUGAUAUUUAAAUUUUUGCAAAAAAAAAAAAUACUUUUAAUAAACAAACCAUGAUUGAUCAUGUUGAUGCAUAUAUGUGACAUGCAAAUGAUGAUUCUUUACCUAAAUAUACUAGUUAAUAAGUAUUAAAAGGGAGGGGGAGGGGGUACACUACUGUAAAAGAUCCACUGUUACAUAUAUAUUAAAGUUAUCAGUUUAAAUGGAAUGGCGAAUAUCUAACAUUUUUGUUCAGUCAACAAUUAAUGUUUGAAAAUAUAUGCUACUUUUAUUUUUGUACAACCUACUUACAAUUACAAGUGCCACGUGUUGUUUAAUAUAGUCUAAAAGCUAACAUUAGAUAUAGUUUAAAAUAAACAAUUACAUAUUACACAGUUUACAUUUGUUUUUAUGUGAUAGCAACCAAGGAAUAUAAACUGGUGUUAACCUUUUGUAAGUAGUAAACAUAUUUGAUUGAAUGUUGAUAAAAUUUAUCGAACAUACAUAUAUAAAGAUGAAAUGAUUUGAUAGGCAUAACGUUUAUUGUACGUAUAACUUAUAUGAUAUGAUUUUUUAGGCAAUAAAUUUUUUGAAUUUUAAAUUCAGCUUGACUUUUACAUGUUUUUAACAAUUUGUCAUGCACAAAUGAUCAAUCAAUACAGCAUGUGACAGAUCAUGUACAUGUACAUGUUAGCUUGUAAAUAAUAAUGCAUAUAACACAGAUGUUCUCGCUGUGAUGAUGACCCUUAGGUGGCCUUCAGCUGUUUUCUGCUCUUUUGUUGGGUUGUUGUCUCUUUGACACCUUCCCCAUUUCCAUUCUCAAUUUUAUAUGAAUAUAAAAGUUGAAAUACAUUUUCAUGUCUAAUAUGAAAAAACUGAGAUGUGGUAUGAUUGCCAAUGAGACAGCUAUCCAUGAAAGUUUAUAAGAAGUGAUUGUAAGCAAUUAUAGGCAACCAAAACUAGAGGCUCUAAAGAGCCUGUGUCGCUCACCUUGGUCUAUGUGAAUAUUAAAGGAAGCAGAUGGAUUCAUGACAAAAUUGUGUUUUGGUGAUGGUGAUGUGUUUGUACAUCUUACUUUACUGAACAUUCUUGCUGCUUAAAAUUAUCUCUAUCUAUAAUGAACUUGGCCCAUAGUUUCAGUGGAAAAUGUUAGUAAAAAUUUACAAAUUUUA